UACGUAGGGUGCGAGCGUUGUCCGGAAUUACUGGGCGUAAAGAGCUCGUAGGUGGUUUGUCGCGUUGUUCGUGAAAACCGGGGGCUUAACUCUCGGCGUGCGGGCGAUACGGGCAGACUGGAGUACUGCAGGGGAGACUGGAAUUCCUGGUGUAGCGGUGGAAUGCGCAGAUAUCAGGAGGAACACCGGUGGCGAAGGCGGGUCUCUGGGCCACUACUGACGCUGAGAAGCGAAAGCAUGGGGAGCGAACAGG
rnacentral:rRNA from 1 species